rnacentral:rRNA from 1 species
GAUGAACGCUAGCUACAGGCUUAACACAUGCAAGUCGAGGGGCAGCAUGAACUUAGCUUGCUAAGUUUGAUGGCGACCGGCGCACGGGUGAGUAACACGUAUCCAACCUGCCGAUGACUCGGGGAUAGCCUUUCGAAAGAAAGAUUAAUACCCGAUGGCAUAGUUCUUCCGCAUGGUAGAACUAUUAAAGAAUUUCGGUCAUCGAUGGGGAUGCGUUCCAUUAGGUUGUUGGCGGGGUAACGGCCCACCAAGCCUUCGAUGGAUAGGGGUUCUGAGAGGAAGGUCCCCCACAUUGGAACUGAGACACGGUCCAAACUCCUACGGGAGGCAGCAGUGAGGAAUAUUGGUCAAUGGACGAGAGUCUGAACCAGCCAAGUAGCGUGAAGGAUGACUGCCCUAUGGGCUGUAAACUUCUUUUAUACGGGAAUAAAGUGAGGCACGUGUGCCUUUUUGUAUGUACCGUAUGAAUAAGGAUCGGCUAACUCCGUG